rnacentral:rRNA from 1 species
GACGAACGCUGGCGGCGUGCUUAACACAUGCAAGUCGAACGGAAAGGCCCUGCUUUUGUGGGGUGCUCGAGUGGCGAACGGGGGAGUAACACGUGAGUAACCUGCCCUUGACUGUGGGAUAACUUCAGGAAACUGGGGCUAAUACCGGAUAGGAGCUCCUGCUGCAUGGUGGGGGUUGGAAAGUUUCGGCGGUUGGGGAUGGACUCGCGGCUUAUCAGCUUGUUGGUGGGGUAGUGGCUUACCAAGGCUAUGACGGGUAGCCGGCCUGAGAGGGUGACCGGCCACGUUGGGACUGAGAUACGGCCCAGACUCCUACGGGAGGCAGCAGUGGGGAAUAUUGCACAGUGGGCGGAAGCCUGAUGCAGCAACGCCGCGUGCGGGAUGACGGCCUUCGGGUUGUAAACCGCUUUCGCCUGUGACGAAGCGUGAGUGACGGUAAUGGGUAAAGAAGCACCGGCUAACUACGUG